rnacentral:lncRNA from 10 species
CGGCCGCACAGCCUGGUUCCCCGCGCCCUGCUCGCCGCCGCCGCUCGCGCGGGCACCGCCGCUGGUCCCCGCCCCGCCGCCGAGCGCACCCGCCCGGGCACACGCACCCCGCCGCUGGACGCACCCCCCGCACUCCUCCCGCGGCUCCGCCGGGCGCCCGAGCCGGGCAGAUGCGCCGCCGCGCGCCCCCCGCUCCGGGCCCGCCACCGUGCUCUGCCGCGCGCCGGGGGCUCCUCUCCCGGGCCCCCCUGGGCGCCCUCCGGCUCUGGUUCCCGCCCGCUCCUUGGAAUAACCCCUGAGGCUCCAGCCGUCACCGCAAAGUUUCCCGAGGAGACCCGCCUCCCCGGCCGCUGCGCAGGUGAGGGCGUGUGGCUGAAGCCUGUUCCUGCUUGGGGGUUGGCCACACAGCAUCCCAACUCCAGGUCCAGAGCCGAGCCUGACAGCCCUCCUCCACUGCCUCCUGGAGCUGCCGGAGAGAGGUCCGGGUCCGUUCUCCCCAAUUCACAGACAUGAAGACUGAGGCCGUGGUUCCAGUGGCUGCUCGGUGGUGGGGCUGGAGCUUGGCAGCAUCCUGCAGCCCUCUGGACUCCCGGCUCUCGAGUGCCGCGUUCUACCUGCUGUGUUCUAAAUGGACAUGCCAUCCCCACAGCUGUGUCAAUAAAG